UUGUGCAGGGAAACUCCCGAUUUUAAAACCAUCAUAUCUCAUGAGACCCAUUAACUAUCACUAGAACAGCACAGGAAGGACCUGCCCCAUGAAUCAGUCAUCUCCCACCAGGUCCCUCCCUCAACACGUGGGAAUUAUGGGAGCUACAAGAUGAGGUUUUGGUGGGGACACAGAGCCAAACCAUAUCAGCUCAUGUCUUCAAAUGACUACGAGAAACCACGCACAUGGAUUUGGGGGAUACACAUAAAUUUUGAGUAGGUAAAUAUGCAAAUACAGAAGGUGUGAAUAAUGGAAAUGGACUGUAAUAGUAGUGCCCAUUUUACAAUGUGCCAGGAAUUUUUCUGAAGCUCACAUAUAUUUAAUUUUCAUAAUAACCCUCUAAUACAUGACUUUUAUGAAAAUGAAAUACAUUAAUAUAUACUAAAGCUUUUUUUUUUUUUUUUUGAGACGGAGUCUCACUCUGUCGCCCAGGCUGGAGUUCAGUUGUGCGAUCUUGGCUCACUGCAAGCUCCACCUUGCGGGUUCACGCCAUUCUCCUGCCUCAGCCUCCCAAGUAGCUGGGACUACAGGUGCAGGCCACCAUGCCCAGCUAAUUUUUUGUAUUUUUAGUAGAGAUGGGGUUUCACCAUGUUAGCCAGGAAGGUCUUGAUCUCCUGACCUCGUGAUCUGCCUGCCUCAGCCUCCCAAAGUGCUGGGAUAGUAAAGCUUUUUAUUAGAAACAAUGUAAUGAUAUUUAUUGUGCUUCAUAAGUAUAAAAAAAUGAAGACAGAGAUUUCUCCAAAGUAAGUCAAUAGGUAGUAAACUCCAGAUAACUCCUCUGUAACCCACAUCCUUAAUCAUAUUAUAAUACCAUCUGUGUAAGCCAUUGCAUAGGAGGCAGAACUAAAGAAUUUGCUCUAAGAAGCCUUCUCAUCUACAGGGCAGUUCCAAGCAUGGACCCUGAGGUCAUCAUUGAACAUUCUGGUCAAGCUUUAUUCAUUUAAUUGACAGAAAUUGGGCAUCUACUACGUUGUAAGCAUAAUUCUAGGCACUAGGGACAAAGAACAAGAUAAUGAACAGCACGAUGUUUUUGCCUUCAUAAAAUUUGCAUCAAGAUAGACACAGGAAAUAAACACAUAUAUAAUUUCAUAUAAUGAUAAGGGCGGUAAGAGAAACAAAGCAAGUUAGAAGAGCAAAGGAAGUGUUACUGACCCUCCCAGGAGGUUAUUGGAUCCUAAUGGGUUCUUUCCCUGCCCAGUGUCAUUUGUGCCAAUAGAACCAGACCAGGUUAAGUAAAGCAGAACAGAAACUUUACUCGUGAUCAAAGAAUGAUGAAGGGGAGGGGAGCUCGUGCUCAAAGCACCAUCUCCCUGGAAGUCAAGUAGAGGGAGAUUUAAAGGGCUCCCAGGACAGGUAGGUGGAGACUGGGGCAGGGAUUCCUGGAAAAACGUGGGCUCUUCCAGGAGGGAAAAGAGUGUGUGCAGUCAUGUCUUUUUGUUUGCACCCAGCACCUUUUGUGCCUAACAAGGUACAUUUCUCCCUGCUGGGUGGAGAUUUUAGUAUGGUAAUGAAGCAAGAAAUGAGUUCAGUGCACCUAUGCAAGAGUUCAAGUCAAGGCAGCACUUCUGCACUUAGUUGGUCUUGUGGCUAACUCGCAGUUUCUGGCAUUCUGCUUUCUUAUCUGUAAGCAAGCACAGCUGCAAGCACAAGUUAGUUUCACAGGUUUUGGGGUCUCCUGAGAGCAUCUAGACCAUGCUAUGGUAAUAGGUGACAGAAGGCCUCUCUGAGGAGGCAACAUUUUUGCUGAGACCUAAAGGAAGUGAGGAAACUAUAGGCAGAAAUAUCUUGAAGAAGAGCACUCCAGGCAAAAGGAACAGCAAGUGCAAAGGCCCCGAAUUCGAAACAAGCUUCGGAUAGUGUGAGGAACAGCAAGACGGCUAGGGUGGAAGGGGCAAGGAACUCAGUGAAAGACAAAAAGUGAAAGAAUUAGGCAGUGCCAGUUCAUAUGGGAUCUUAGCAGUCAUGGUAAGGAGUUUGGAUUCUAAAUGUGUCAGUAAGUCCUUAGAGAGUUUUGAGCAGGGAAAAUAAGUCAUAUGACAAGUUGGUACAAGAUCCCUGGUGUAGAGAAUGGCCUGCAGGAGAGCAAGAGUAAAAGCUGAGACACCAUUUAUAGGCUCAGGAGGGAGAGCAGGGUUCAUCUGAGAGUCAGCAGUGGAGGAAGUGAGAAGCAGGUAGUUUCAGAACAUAUUUGAAAAGCAAAGCUUUAAAUGUGGAGUGUGAGGGAAAGAGAGGAAUCAGGAACGUCUCCAUGGAUCUGGGCCAGACUCCUAGGUGAUUGAUUGUUGGAGUCUUUUGCUAAUUGGGAAGACAGUGAUAGGAAAAGAGUUGAGGAACAGGAGAAUCCAUAGUUUUCUUCAGACUUUCACUGUGUUUUACUAAAUCCUAGGUUCUAGGGUUGGGUUUUUUCUUAAAGAAAAAAAAAAAGAGUUAAUUUCUGGGUCUCCUGGGAAAGAUUGCCCUUGACACAUAGGAAUAAAUAACUUUGGGUAUUAACUGAAACCCCCAUUUAAACCUUAUCUGAACACUAAAUAUAAUCUUGUUCAUUACAUAAAUAAAAACUGAAGGCUUAUGUUACAAUUUGCCUGUCCCUAUAUACACACAUGUACAAACAUGGCUAAAUGAAGACACUUGACAGUUACAGAAAACCCUGACAAGGAACGGUAAACAAAUUAGCUUUGCUGAGAAAUACAGCUUGCACUCAUCCAAAGCCUGCAAUGAAAAAAAGUCCAGACGAAAUCAGCAAGUAUAUUAGUUAAAAAAAAAAAAGAAGAAGAAACAAACAAAAAAAGGAAAUAUUUUGGUCAACUAUUUACCCCAAAAUGGAUUCAAAAACAAACUAAAAAUAAUUCUCUAAAUUCCAAUACCUCAAGUUCACCACAUUAGUUUCUACAAGAACCAAACUCAUUUCCUGUUUUAUCCAUAGGAGGAAACAUUUUUUUCUCCUGCAGACAUUUUAGUGGAAUAUAUGAGCCUUUGCACAAGACUGAGACUCAUAUGAUUUUCCUCUCUGUUCUCGUAGAAAUUAAAAACAGACUGAAAGCCACAGGGCCGUGACUAUUAUAGGUCUAAAUCAGAUCUUAAAAUAGAGUAAAGGAAGUGAAGCAAGGCUUAAUAAUCAGCAUAAUGCAACAUAAUAUUUAGUGUUUUAAUAGGACAUCUCUGUUCAUUAAUGCAUUCAACAAUUAUUUUUGAGACCCCAUUAUGUUUCAGGCACUGUACAAGGUGCUCAGCACACACCAAUGAAUAAACCCAUCUCACUUCUUGCCUGUGUAGUACUUAUAGUGUAACACUGAUAGUAAUAAAACAUUUAUCUGAAACAACUUUCAGAGCCGCCAAGACCAGAACCUCUGCACUCCCCUUAGAACAGAUUUCUCAAGCUCAGAGCUGUUGACAUUUUGGACUGGAAAAGUCUUUGUUGUGGGGCUGUCCUGUGCAUUACAGGAUGUUUAGCAGCAUCCUUGGCCUUCACUUACUAGAUGCCAGUAGCACUCUUUCCCCCUCAUUAGUGACAAUCAAAAAAUGUCUCCCUACAUUGCCAAAUAUCCCCUGGGGAGAAAAAUUCGUACCUAUGUGAGAACCACUGACUUUAGAGGAUGGUGAAAGCAAUAAAAUUCUGUCUUUUUCUGAGAUCUCCUCAUUCAUUCCAGAAAGGUGCCUUUGCCAAAUGAGAAGUUCUAGGUUAAUGUGGAGGGACCAGCCAGUCCGAAUAGGCUGAAUUGGAUUUAGAAGGCAUCAGAAUCAACUUUCAAAAUAUAAAGGCAAUAACUGUUUCCGAUGAGAAAAAUACCAAUUUUCAGGGUAUUCAUUUAUUCAACGAAAAUGUUACUAAAUGCCUACUCCUCUAUGUGCCAGGCACAAUUAUAGGUGCUGUGGAUAGUGAACAAAACACAACAGAAUUCCAGUCUUUGUGUAGCUUAUAGUGACAGAAGGCAUACAAGUAAGUAAAAUGUCUAUAGUAUGUGAGAAGGAAAUAUUUUUAGGAUAUGGAUAAAUAAAAGCAGGGAAAGGGGAUCAGUAGAGGAGGAUAAUUCAAUUUUUGUAAGGUGGUCAUCUAAAAUAAAAGCCCCAAAAGACAUAAGGUGAAAGUCAUGCAAAUAUCUUUAUUUAAAAAAAGAGAGAGUGUUCCAAGCAGAGGGAGCAGUAAGUGCAAAAGCCCUGAGGUAGAAGCUUGCUUGGUAAAGGGCUGGAAUGAUGUGAGCUAGAUUGAAUGGUAGGAGAUAAAGUUAGGCAGUUAAUGGGAGACAUAUUUUAUUGAAACUUUUAGGCCAUUGUAAGGACUUUGAUUUUUCACCACAAAAGAUUUCAAGGGGUGGUCAACAAAUAUUUUCAGUUGUCCUUCCAUGCAUAUAGAGGAUUAUAUUUUCCUGCACCCUUAAAGUUAGGUGUGACUAUGUGUGAGAGACUGGGUUAGUGCUCCAAUUCUUCCACCCUUUCUUUGCUUUCACACCCUUGCCUGGCCUCACUAUAGACAGAAUAUAGUUCUCUGACUCUUGGUUGUAGUUUUGGCCAUGGGGCUUGCUUUGGACAACAGGAUAUAAGUACACAUGAUGCAUGCAAGGGUUUGAGAUAUGCUUGCCCAGUGGGGCUUUCUCUCUUGAAUUUCUGCCACCACCCCCAAAAAAACAUGUCUUGGCUAGCUUGUUGAAUCUAGGAGAAAGAUGAGAAACAUGGUGAGCAGAGCUGCCCCAGAGGACAUGCAGCUUCAAGCAGACCACCUAGUCUAGCCCAGUCUAAAUCACUUGACCCCCAGCCAGCCUGGAGAGGCAUGACAAACAAAUGCUUAUUGUUGCAUGCACUGAUAUUUUGUGGUGGUUUGUUGCACAGCACGGUACCUCACUUUAGCCAUUAAAAUGAGAGUGGAAGUGAGAUGUGUCAAGUCUGGGUGGGAGUAAAAUCUUUAAGAGUCACUGCAUAUUGCCUAGUCCCCUUCUCCCUAUUACAGAGAGGAUGGAAGUACAUGUCAAGGCAGAGCCUCUACUACCCUAGUUCGCUGAGUGACUGUGUUUAGCAGAGCCCUUCAUUACCCACACUAAACAUAUUGCCUGAGAAAGAAAGAAAAAAUCUGUGGUGUUAGCUAACGUUGUUUCUAUUUUUGAUACUGCAGCAUAAUGUUGUUUGACUGAUACAUGAAAUCUCCAUAUGAUUUUGAGGUAAGGAAUGACAUGAUUUGUCUCAUAUGUAAACGACUUUGGCUAUGUUGAGAAUAGACUGAAGUGGGUAGGGGCAGAGGCUAGGAGACAAACUGGAAGGUGGUUAUUGCAACAGUAAUGCUGUCAAGAGAUGAUAGUGGCUGGGAACACUGUAGUAGCAGCAGGGAAGGUAACAAGUGACCAAAUCCUAGACAUAUUUUUAAAAAUAGAACUGCCAAAUUUUGUUUACGGAUAGGCAGGAUGGGAGAGACAGGAUGGAAUCAAAGAUGACUCUAAGGUUUUGGGGUUGAGAGAAGUUUGAUAGAGUUGCCUUUAAUUAAAAUGGAGACUAUUGUGGCAGGACAAGGUUUGGCUAUAGGGGGAGAUCUGGAGCUUAAUUUUGGACGUGGUAAGUUAGAGGUGCCUAUUAACCAUGUGUGUAGAAAAGUCAAGUCAACAGUUGGAUUUACCAGUCCAGGGUAUGGAGAUGUGAUUUGAAAGUUUGUUGGUAUAUAAGAGAUUGCAUUUAAAGCCAAGCGAUUGGAGGAAAUCACAAAGGGAGUGAGAGUAGACAGAAAAGAGGCUCAAAGAUUGAGCCCUGGGGCAUCUUUCAUUAAGAGGUCAGAGACCUUGAACCUAGGAGGCGGAGGCUGCAGUGAGCCGAGAUGGCGCCACUGCACUCCAGCCCAGCGACAGAGCGAGACUCCGUCUCAAAAAAAAAAAAGAAGGUCGGAGAAUAGCAAGAAACCAGCAGGAGCAGCCAGUGAGGUUGCAGAAAACUGAUUUAUGUGAGGUUGUGCUAAAGUGUCAUGCAUUUGCCUGGCCAGGUGCUUUCUUCAGCGUUUUCCACCUGGCUGUCUCCAAGAAGGCUGAUCUUAAUGAAACUGAUUUCCAUUCCGUCCAUUGUCUGCUUGGGUUUGGCCAGUGGGAAGGAGCCCCAAUAGAAGAUUAGAAAGAAAGGAAUGAGAUUAAAUCAGUGGCUCUUUAAAAUCACCUGCAAGGGUUGUUAAAGUACUAAGCCCCACCCCCAGUUUCUGAUUCUUAUCUAAUUAUUGGAUAAGACUUGUGGAUUUGCAUUUCUAACAAGGUCUCAGGUGAUGUUGCUGGUCUGGAGGCAACAUUUUGAGAACUAUUAGGUUAGGGAAUGUAUUCACGAUUCCUUCCCUGUACAAUUGCCUCAGCCUGGUUGUGACCAGAAAGCCACUGCUCCUCCCCAGUUGUCCUGCAGUGUAUGACUCUGUUUCCUCUGGAAUUUCAGAGGAAUUUUUUUCCUGCCCUCAUCUUUUCAAAGGUGGUGAAAGUUCUAUUCCUGAUGGCCCCAAAUUCCUGCCCUAUCACCUGUUCUUCCUCUACGCCACACUUGCGCCUUGGUAACAGAACAUUCAAUGGGACUACAGUGAAAUUUGGGAGUCAUUGACAUAGCCAGCAAUGGAUACAAUGACUGUUGGAACUAUAUACAUCUCCUUACUGUUGGGAAAAGUGAGAAUUCCUCACCAGCAAGAAGGAUAGUUGUAUCUUAUAAGGGUGGAAAUACAGAGUUAUUUACUUGUUGUAUGAAAGUUGAAAUGUGUGUAAAAGGGUGUAUGGAAUCUGAGUUGUCAAAAGAAUAAACAAUGACAUUAAUUUAUUGCUUAUCUCAUAAUCGAUUAUGCAUUAUCUCCUGUGUAAUAAUGGAGCCAGUCCUCCAGAUAUUUCUCCUUCACAGUGAGCAUUAUGAUAUAAGCUUUAUCAGUAGAGGGUGUGGAGGGAUAUUGCUUCUGGGGUGCUGCUGUGUUGUAGUCUUCCUGCUCCUACCACAGCGCUUCCAGAAGUAGACAUGGAAAAAAUCCAGUGGUGCUCCACUGCAGCUGCUUGUCCAGAGCUUAUGAAACUGAAGGUGGAGACAAGCACCAGGCUUGCAGUGUGAAUUACUUCCCUCUUGUCACAAUUUGGUGAUUAAUCAGCCGUGACUGCAGAAUAAAAUGGAAAGUAACUACGGGUAAACAUGACACUCACAUUAAAUCAAGUUAGUUCAUCCUGAUUAACAUGGCUUCCCUCGGAAAUAAAUAAAUUAGUAGUCAUCUCUGGUUUAAAUUGCGUUCAAAAGAAAGGAGGGCUGAGGGAUGCUACAGCCACUCUGGAAAUUAUUGCUUACAUCCCUGAAACAGAAAAAAUAUCUUUUGACCCUGCAAUUCUACCCUGACCAUCCACAGCAGAGGGCAAGCUGAAGUUUGUUUACAGCUGAGGCGUGAGUCCUCCCAACCCACAUUCAGAAUGACUGUCCUGCUGGUCUGCAGAAUCCAAGGUGAUACGAAGCUGACUGCUCUGAAUGUCUGUUCUCUCUUCCUGAUGUGAAUGGCUCCCUACAGGGCGGGGGUGCAGUGAGUGAAGCACUCAUCUCUGGUGCUAAAUUUAAGUGGUCACCAAAACACUCAGGAAUCCUGACAAAUAUUUUUGAAAGUCAAAAGUAAGGCAAAAAAAAAGAUAUGAUGAACAAGAUAUCUAAACUUUAAAUAAAGACAAAAUCAAUUUAUUGAUUUUAACUUUUGCCUUAAGUUCCAACCUAGUUCAUUACUGCACUGCUGAAGGGGAAGAGUAUAAUUUCAAGGUAUUGGCUUAAAUGGACUUUCUAUCUUAAGUUAUGGCCUCUAGGGCAAUGGUUCUACAACUUUAGUGUACACCAGAGUCACCUGGAAAGCUUGUGAAAAGACAAGAGCUCAACCCCAAAUCUAGAAUUUUGAUUUAUUGAAAAUGAGAUGGGGCCUAAGAAUUUGCAUUGCUAACAAGUUCUAGGCAAUAAGGCUGUUGCUGAUGCAGUGCUAUGGUCUGAAUGUUGGUGCCCCUCCACAUUCAUAUGUUGAAACCUAACCCCCAACAAUAGUUUUAAGACAUGGGGCCUUUAGGAGGUGCUUAAGUCAGUAGGGCAGAGACCUCGUGAAUGGGAUUGGUGCUCUUAUAAAAGAAGUUGAAGGAAGCUGCCUUGCCCCUUCUGAUGUGUGAAGACUCAGAACGAAGUACCAUCUGUGAAGCAGAGAGUGAGCCUCCACCAGACACUGAAUCUGUUGGUAUCCUGAUCUUGAACUUUCCAGCUUCCAGAACUGUGAGAAAUUAAGUUUCUAUUUUUUAUAAAUGACCCAGUCUAAGGUAUUUUGUUAUAGCAGCCCAAACAGACUAAGACAUGCAGGAGCCACAACUUAAGAACCACUGUAGAGACAGCUGUAUAAAUAGUUAGCCAGUAAAUCCCAAAG